AACUUUUGGCAAUGGAUCACUUGGCUCUCCCAUCGAUGAAGAACGCAGCGAAAUGCGAUAAGUAAUGUGAAUUGCAGAAUUCAGUGAAUCAUCGAAUCGUUGAACGCACCUUGCGCCCUUUGGGAUUCCGAAAGGCAUGCCUGUUUGAGUGUCAUUAAAUUAUCGACCUUGCUUGCUUUUACUAGCUCGCUCGGCUUGGAUGUGAGGGCUGCUGGCUUCCUUCAGUGGAUGGUCUGCUCCCUUUAAAUGCAUUAGUGGGAUCUCUUGUGGACCGUCACUUGGUGUGAUAAUUAUCUAUGCCAGUUGACUUUGAAGCAAACUUAUGGGAACCUGCUUAUAACCGUCCUUCGGGACAACUUUAACAUUUUGACCUCAAAUCAGGUAGGACUACCCGCUGAACUUAAGCAUAUCAAUAAGCGGAGGCU
rnacentral:misc_RNA from 1 species